UUUAACGUUCGAUCUCAAAUCAGGUAAGACUACCCGCUGARCUUAAGCAUAUCAMUAAGSGGAGGAAAAGAAACUAACAARGAUUCCCMUASUAACUGCGAGUGAAGCGGGAAAAGCUCAAAUUUAAAAUCUGGCGUGCCUCUGGGCGUCCGACUUGUAGAUCUAGAGAAGCGUUUUCUGUGUUGGACCGUGUAUAACUCUCUUGGAACAGGGCGUCAUAGAUGGUGAGAAU
rnacentral:rRNA from 1 species